rnacentral:ncRNA from 1 species
GGGUCCGGCGGGCCGCGAACUCCCCCAAAGAACCGGGGUGAAGAACUUCCCGCCCACCCACCCUUCCCGCUGGUCACCCGUACGAGUGACCAGCUUGCGAGGGAAGCACGGCGGUCGUUACGUUCACCGCAACACAACCGCAAACAGACGACGGCCCCCGGCCGGGACGGCAAUCCCGAUCGAGGGCCUGACCGAUCAGGAAGCAAAGGCCCUUCCCG